rnacentral:lncRNA from 1 species
CAAGGAUUGAACCUUCCUUCUAAGCCAGAGCUAACCACUAGGUCAGAAGACUGAGAAGCCACCACUGAGGACUGGGUCAGACAAUCAACAAAACAGCAAAUCAAGCCUGAGAUCAUGUUUGCUGAUUCCCAAGGUAUAAUGCUCAUGCUGAAAAUUUAACAAUCCUCCAAACAGGAUGGAACUGGCUCCAACUCAUUGCUGCUGCAUGUAAGUAGAUAAUCUUGGGCUGGAGCUUAAUGAGACCUUGGAGGAGAAGCAGGAAAUCAAAAGCAUCUUGAUCAGGCUGCUGUUGCUGCAAGUUCCCUCUUUGAAAACUGCUGCUGUUCCCUGAUGUGACACUGUGAUCAGUAUCAAAUGCUAGAUGGCAAGGAUUUCUGUAGAGAGCUUUCUCGGCUAAAAUAGAUUUAACCUACCCGUUGCUCUUUGUGAGUCGAACAAUGGCAGCGACAAUAAAG